rnacentral:rRNA from 1 species
UACGAAGGGGGCUAGCGUUGUUCGGAUUUACUGGGCGUAAAGCGCACGUAGGCGGAUUCUUAAGUCAGGGGUGAAAUCCCGAGGCUCAACCUCGGAACUGCCUUUGAUACUGGGGAUCUCGAGUUCGGGAGAGGUGAGUGGAAUUGCGAGCGUAGAGGUGAAAUUCGUAGAUAUUCGCAAGAACACCAGUGGCGAAGGCGGCUCACUGGCCCGAUACUGACGCUGAGGUGCGAAAGCGUGGGGAGCAAACAGG